GUGCGCCCGGAGUGGCCCACUGGGAAGCGCCUUGGGAGGGGGUGCAAGGUGGUUGGGUGUAUAGCAGGUGGAGGAUCACGAACCGGCGCCGACUGAGCACCACAGAUCCUGAUACAAGCCACAGACUUCUGCAGUUAGUCAUAGAGCGGCAUGUCACAUGCAGUGAGCUUGGCAACAGGCCAGGUGGUGGGAUGUCAUUAAUUUCUGGCAACUGGGGAAGUGCCUGUCUGCCCCUCGUGACAGCUGGGAACACUAAGUCUCCAUCUUAACACCAAGCCAUGCUGUGAACUUGACAAAGCCACGGUUUUUCACUGUGGUCAGAGAAAGGAGGAUGACAACAUUUACAGAACUACCUCUGAGCUCUAUAUUUAAGGAUGACUCUGCCUCCAAAUCCAAAGAUUUAUUGAAGCAUAAUUGAUAAAUGCCAAAAUGUAUAUUUAAGCCUAAAAUGAAUGAGUUCUGACAUAUCUACACAUAGGUAAAACUCAGACCACCAUCAAGAAAAUGGCAGUAUCCAUCACCCUAAGAUUCCUGUGCCUCACUCCUUUACCCCCACCAACCUCUCAAAAAAUGCUGAGGUUACUAUAUAUUUAUUUGCACUUUUUAGAAUUUAUAUAAUUGGAAUAUUAUAUAUAUUUUCAUGGACUAGUAUGGAAAAUACCAUUUUUUAAAAUUCCUCAGUAUUUGAUGUUUGUGUUUUCUGAUGUGUUAUGAAUAUUGAUGAAUAUGAAUGUUGAUGAAUAUUCUAGAGUCUAAAAGAUUCAAACUGUCACAUUACAUGGUUCUUUCACUGCUCUGGAGUCCCAUUUUUUUCUGUUUUCUUCCUCUCAUCUCUCCCUAGCUAUGGGUUUGCUUAUCAUUUGUAUUCACCUUUGACUAAAAUUGCACUUUC